rnacentral:rRNA from 1 species
AUGGCAACUAAGCCAUCAGUAUCCUUCCAAUGGUUUACUAAAUCGACAUCCGUUACUGAAUUUAGAGAUCAAGAAAGCAUUAGGUUAUCUGUGAAAACUCAUGCAGGGAAGAGGCGUUACUGCUGCUCAUCCCACACAUCGUCUGCUGAUGCACCUCCUUCGAGUGCGUUGUUCAUUGCUGCCUCUCCCGACGCAUUGUCCGCUCCCUACUCCUCCCUCCAACAGGUCACCCAGAACCUCUGCUACACCUCCUGCAUGGCGUGCCGGUGCAGAACCUCUACUGCACUCCUCAUUCCCUCACGAUUGUUGUUUGGAUAG